AUAGGCUGGUAAGACUGCUCUUGAUUUUGCUGAACGUAAAGGUCAUAGUGAUACUGCUACCCUACUGAGAGUACACUCAGAUAAACAAAAGCAAGCACUGAGUGCACUAGAGAAAGGUAUGGAGGAAGGUUUUCUUAUGCUCAACAACACUAAAAUCACUAUCUGUGGUCCACCAGCUGUUGGCAA